AGGGAGUUGGGGUACAAUAACAACACCUCAUCCAUGCUAAGGCAUUACCGUGCCUUGCAUGAGAAUAAGGAGGAAACUGGAGCUUCACCCAGCCAUGCCACCAGAAAACAAGAGCUGGAUGAAGCCCUCGUCUCCAUGAUAGUGAAGGACACACAGCCUUUCACUGUUGUGGAUGAUGUUGGAUUCAGGGCAUUUGUGUCCAAACUGGAUCCUAAUUAUGUUAUCCCUACAAGGCAGGCUCUGAAGGCCAUGGUGGAGGCCAAGUAUGAGUUGGCUAAGGAGAAGGCUAAGGCUAAAAUGGAAACGGUGGUUGCUG